rnacentral:rRNA from 1 species
CCUACGGGAGGCAGCAGUGGGGAAUAUUGCACAAUGGGCGCAAGCCUGAUGCAGCCAUGCCGCGUGUAUGAAGAAGGCCUUCGGGUGGUAAAGUACUUCAGGCGGGGAGGAAGUGUAGUAUGUGCUAAUAUCUAUGAUCAUGACGGUCCGCAGAA